rnacentral:rRNA from 1 species
CCUACGGGGGGCAGCAGUGGGGAAUAUUGCACAAUGGGGGAAACCCUGAUGCAGCGACGCCGCGUGAAGGAUGAAGGUUUUCGGAUCGUAAACUUCUAUCAGCAGGGAAGAUAGUGACAGUACCUGACUAAGAAGCCCCGGCUAACUACGUGCCAGCAGCCGCGGUAAUACGUAGGGGGCAAGCGUUAUCCGGAUUUACUGGGUGUAAAGGGUGCGUAGGCGGCAAGGUAAGCCAGAUGUGAAAGCCCGAAGCUCAACUUCGGGACUGCAUUUGAAUCUGCCUUGCUAGAGUGCAGGAGAGGAAAGUGGAAUUCCUAGUGUAGCGGUGAAAUGCGUAGAUAUUAGGAGGAACACCAGUGGCGAAGGCGACUUUCUGGACUGUGACUGACGCUGAGGCACGAAAGCGUGGGGAGCGAACAGGAUUAGAUACCCUAGUAGUC